rnacentral:misc_RNA from 1 species
UUAAGUUCAGCGGGUAUUCCUACCUGAUCCGAGGUCAACCUGGUGUGAGGUGGGGUUGCUGGUCGCCAGCCGCCAGCGCCCGCAGCGAGAGAUGUACUACGCUCGGGACCUAGCGGUGCCGCCACUGAGUUUGGGGACAGCCAUCGCUGGCGCGGCCCAGGACAAGCAGAGCUUGAGUGGUGUUAAUGACGCUCGAACAG